GCGGCUGUCUUCUAGAGGUUUAUGAUGCUACUUUCCCAUUAAUGCCGACUUCAGUGAGGUAGGAAAAGAAAGCAAGUAGCGACCCGGGUUCGAAUCCCGGCAGCCGCA